rnacentral:lncRNA from 1 species
CGACAGGAUUAAUUCUAUUCCUGGAGGGCCCAGUGGAGCAGGGCCAUUUGGGACGCCAGGAAGGUAGAAGGAGCACCGCUGCCAGGGCAUGUGGUGUCCCGGAAGAUGGCCAAGGCAGGCUGCCCAGAGUGGAAAGGAUGGCAACACGUGCCAGGCUGGGAUAGUGACUUGAAGAUGAGGAGCCUGGGCUGGGCGGGCCGCAGGCGGCAGGGAAGGCCCCACAUCGAGGGUUGCAAUCUUGUCAUCCAUAACUCUUAUAAGAAUGAGCCCUGGCCUGGAAGAGAGGCCAAAUGUCUAAUCAGCAGGCCUGGAACACCGCCGGUGCCAAGAAAGAGCCAAGCAGCCACUCCCUGGGGCUGGCUGCAGAUGAGGCCCUUGUGGUUUCCCCACUCACUGACUACGGGGAGGAGGGUGUGCAAGGACUUUGUCUGGGAAGAAUCUUUGCAUCUGUAGCUCAACAGGCUUCUCUCUCCAGGCCCCUGGGUUUCAAAAGACUGUGACUUCCACCUUGGUUUGCUCGGUCUGAUGAAGGAACUUUGAGCUGUGAGCUGCACUGUGAACUUUGCUGUGAGCUGCCCUGUGAUGGGAGAGGAGGCCUCCGCCUCACAGCCCUGGAGGACCUCAAUGCUGCCAACGUGUGACCAGAUGCAGAUCCUUCUCCAGUCAAGCCUGGACAUGACAUGACAGCAGCCCUGGGGACCUUGAUGCUGUGGCCUGUGCAAGACCCUGAGCCAGCCGCACCCAGAUCCCUCACCCACAGAAACUGCCAGAUUUUAAGUCUUCUGCUUCUGCAAGAUGAGUCACGGUUCUACUUCCCCUGGAAGGGCAGAAGUUGCAUAAGAUUGUUGAGGCUCAAGCGAGAUAAUGUGUGAGGCUGUUACUCCAGACUAGAGCCUUGAUUUUUAAACUUCAGCGUGCAUCAGAAUCGCCUGGAAGGUUUGUUAGAACCCCGCCCCCAGAGUUUCUCCUUCAGGGGGUCCAGGGUGGGCCUGAGAGUUUCUGAAGUGUUCCCAGGGGUUGCCGAUGCUGCUAGUCCAGGCACUAUAUUUAGGGAACCCCCGUCCUAAAGCCUCACCAAUUGAAUCUCCUAAGAUGAUGAAGAUGGCCUACAUCUGUGCUGUCCUAAACGGUAGCCAACAGCCACACGUGGCUACUGAGAACUCGGAGUGUGGCUAGCACGCCUGAGGACCCGAAUUUAAAAAACAGUUAAUUUUAAUUAACUUAAAUUUAAAUAGCCACGUAUGGUUGGUGGCCAGCGUUUUGGACAGUGUUGUUCUAGAGCUCAUCUGAGUUUGCAGAUGAAGAAACCGAGGCUUUGAGAGGUACCUCCCCUCCCUUGGAGUCUCAUGGCAAUCCUGGGGUGGUGCUCCGGCUGGCUGGCCUUCUUGAACAGGUCCUGUGAUAUGGGAACAUUUGAGUGCUUUGGGGGUGUCUUUGUUGCUUUGAGUUCCAGGUAGCUGAAAGGAGUGGGCUGGAAGGGGACGGGGAGACCCAUUUGCUGGCUCAUGACAAAGAUGAGAGCUGCAGACACAGCGCACAGCGGCAGGAAAAGGCUAAAUGAAAGAGGAUCAUCAGAGCGAAUCACGCUACUGCUCAGAAUGACCAGCUCUUCGGGAUUGAAGAAAGCUUCCUUCAUCCUGUCCUUGGCCUCCGUGGUCAAAGAGAUCCUGGAGGUUUAGCUGUGCUCUGGGUCCCUUGAAGACUUCGGAGGCAAUCCACUAAGAAAUGGGGAUUUAAGUGAGACAUGAAGAAGAACUUCCUUAUGGCAAGAACUAUAAGAUGUUGAAGACAAGACACAGUAUUGGGAGUAAAGGCGGUGAGGCACGGAAAUAUAUUUACCAGUGAGUCAACGGUGUUCUGCCGUGCCCAACCGCUUGCAUCCCCUGGCUUGCAUCAUAUUGAAUCCUUCUGUCAACUGCAGUCCCACAACCCAAGUUGUGCUUUUCCACUCCAGACACCCAGGGAACCGAGUCUUCUCCCCCAGGAUCCCUGCUCUGCUCGUUCAGGGCAGGAAUCCCAGCCAGCACAAGGCCCAGGGCUGCUGAGUGAACUCACUAGCUAGCUAGUCACUGAGCAACAGAGUCUGGAGUCUGGGUCCCCUGAUGCCCAGUCUUGAGCUCUUUCAUGUCCUCCAUUCCUCACUCAGUUGACACGAAGGCACUGGGGCCUGAAGGACACGGAACAGGUGAGGCCAGUCCCCCUGCUUGAACAGCUCUGUGUAGGAAAGGAGAUGACUCCCUCUCCCCUCUCCCCUCUCCCCACGGUCUCCCUCUCCCUCUCUUUCCCCGGUCUCCCUCUGAUGCCGAGCCGAAGCUGGACUGUACUGCUGCCAUCUCGGCUCACUGCAACCUCCCUGCCUGAUUCUCCUGCCUCAGCCUGCCAAGUGCCUGCGAUUGCAGGCGUGCGCCGCCACGCCUGACUGGUUUUCAUAUUUUUUUGGUGGAGACGGGGUUUCGCUGUGUUGGCCGGGCUGGUCUCCAGCUCCUAACCGCGAGUGAUCCGCCA